rnacentral:rRNA from 1 species
CCCUUAGAUGUUCUGGGCUGCACGCGCGCUACACUGAUGCGUUCAACGAGUUUAUGACCUUGCCCGAUAGGGUUGGGUAAUCUUUUUAAAUCGCAUCGUGAUGGGGAUAGAUUAUUGCAAUUAUUAAUCUUCAACGAGGAAUUCCUAGUAAGCGCGAGUCAUCAGCUCGUGCUGAUUACGUCCCUGCCCUUUGUACACACCGCCCGUCUCUCCUACCGAUUGAGUGAUCCGGUGAAUAAUUCGGACUGCAGCAGUGUUCAGUUCCUGAACGUUGCAGCGGAAAGUUUAGUGAACCUUAUCACUUAGAGGAAGGAGAAGUCGUAACA